GACGAACGCUGGCGGCGUGCUUAACACAUGCAAGUCGAACGGAAAGGCCCUGCUUUUGUGGGGUGCUCGAGUGGCGAGCGGGUGAGUAACACGUGAGUAACCUGCCCUUGACUUUGGGAUAACUUCAGGAAACUGGGGCUAAUACCGGAUAGGAGCUCCUGCUGCAUGGUGGGGGUUGGAAAGUUUCGGCGGUUGGGGAUGGACUCGCGGCUUAUCAGCUUGUUGGUGGGGUAGUGGCUUACCAAGGCUUUGACGGGUAGCCGGCCUGAGAGAGUGACCGGCCACAUUGGGACUGAGAUACGGCCCAGACUCCUACGGGAGGCAGCAGGGGGGAAUAUUGCACAAUGGGCGGAAGCCUGAUGCAGCAACGCCGCGUGCGGGAUGACGGCCUUCGGGUUGUAAACCGCUUUCGCCUGUGACGAAGCGUGAGUGACGGUAAUGGGUAAAGAAGCACCGGCUAACUACGUG
rnacentral:rRNA from 1 species